UCCAGUGACGAUGGCAAAGAGGCCACACCCGUUCCCAUCCCGAACACGGCAGUUAAGCUCUUUUGCGCCGAUGGUAGUUGGGGUCUCCCCCUGUGAGAGUAGGACGUCGCUGGUC
rnacentral:rRNA from 1 species